CGGGAACUCUUCCGGGAGGGAAGGCAGUGGAAUGAGCGGCGGACGGGUGAGUAACACGUAAGGAACCUGCCUCAAGGAUUGGGAUAACUCCGAGAAAUCGGAGCUAAUACCGGAUAGUUCAUCGGACCGCAUGGUCCGCUGAUGAAAGGCGCUUCGGCGUCACCUUGAGAUGGCCUUGCGGUGCAUUAGCUAGUUGGUGGGGUAACGGCCCACCAAGGCGACGAUGCAUAGCCGACCUGAGAGGGUGAUCGGCCACACUGGGACUGAGACACGGCCCAGACUCCUACGGGAGGCAGCAGUAGGGAAUCUUCCACAAUGGACGAAAGUCUGAUGGAGCAACGCCGCGUGAGUGAUGAAGGUUUUCGGAUCGUAAAACUCUGUUGUAAGGGAAGAACACGUACGAGAGGGAAUGCUCGUACCUUGACGGUACCUUACGAGAAAGCCACGGCUAACUACGUGCCAGCAGCCGCGGUAAUACGUAGGUGGCAAGCGUUGUCCGGAAUUAUUGGGCGUAAAGCGCGCGCAGGCGGCCUUUUAAGUCUGAUGUGAAAGCCCCCGGCUCAACCGGGGAGGGGCAUUGGGAACUGGAAGGCUUGAGGACGGAAGAAAACACUGGAAUUCCACGCUCAGUUACAGACCGAAAAGU
rnacentral:rRNA from 1 species